GCAGAUACUGUGUUUUUAUAAAUUGAAGAUGUGGCAACCCCAUAUCCAGCAAGUCUAAAAGUACCAUUCUUCCAACAGCAUUUGAGCACUUCAUGUCUGAUCUUCUCUGUGACCUAUGAAGAAUAUUGUUGGCACUCAAAGACUACUGAUCUGUACACAAUUAGCCUGUGGCCUCAUUAAUUUCUUGGGAAUUUGUUUCCCGCAAAUACAAGAAUUUCACUACAAGAACUUAAGGAUGUUCCAGGUUUAUCUGAUAUACCAAACAUGCCCAUAAAAUCAGAGGAAAAGAAGGGUGCACUGAAUGUCAUCCAUCAAGGAUACUGAAAAGGGUCACAUUGACAUAUUUUAUGUCCGGUUUGUGAGCAAAGAUGCCGGUAAAUUCUGACA